CCUACGGGGGACUGCAGUCGAGAAUCAUUCACAAUGGGGGAAACCCUGAUGGUGCGACGCCGCGUGGGGGAAUGAAGGUCUUCGGAUUGUAAACCCCUGUCAUGUGGGAGCAAAUUAAAAAGAUAGUACCACGAGAGGAAGAGACGGCUAACUCUGUGCCAGCAGCCGCGGUAAUACAGAGGUCUCAAGCGUUGUUCAGAAUCACUGGGCGUAAAGCGUGCGUAGGCUGUUUCGUAAGUCGUGUGUGAAAGGCGCGGGCUCAACCCGCGGACGGCACAUGAUACUGCGAGACUAGAGUAAUGGAGGGGGAACCGGAAUUCUCGGUGUAGCAGUGAAAUGCGUAGAUAUCGAGAGGAACACUCGUGGCGAAGGCGAGUUCCUGGACCUUAACUGACGCUGAGGCACGAAGGCCAGGGGAGCGAAAGGGAUUAGAUACCCUAGUAGUC
rnacentral:rRNA from 1 species